AAGUGCCGGCGCUGGGCUGUAAUUCCUGGAGUCUGGACGGAGACGGGCCUUCAAUUAGGCUGUCCUGACUCCAACGGGCGCACACGCUCGGAGUCCCUUCCGCCGGCUGCUGAGGGACAGCGAAGGAGGGGCCGUCUCACAGACACCAGUCACGUGGCCACACGCACACGCACACACACGCACACACACACACACACACACACACACCAGACCCUGCUAAGUCUGGGUCAGAGACGGGGAAGACAGGUGCUGUGGCCAGGACUCAACACUCAGGGCAGGCUGGGCAACUCGAACAAGGAAAACUCCCCCUGCAAUCCCUCCUGGGGCUCUGCUCACCUCCAGGGGGCUCUGUUCUCACCUCCAGGGGGCUCUGCUCACCUCCCAGGGCUCUGUUCUCACCUCCAGGGCUCUGUUCUCACCUCCAGGGGCUCUGCUCACCUCCCAGGGCUCUGUUCUCACCUCCAGGGGCUCUGCUCACCUCCAGGGCUCUGUUCUCACCUCCAGAGCUCUGUUCUCACCUCCAGGGCUCUGUUCUCACCUCCAGGGGGCUCUGUUCUCACCUCCAGGGCUCUGCUCACCUCCAGGGCUCUGUUCUCACCUCCAGGGCUCUGCUCUCACCUCCAGGGCUCUGUUCUCACCUCCAGGGGGCUCUGCUCACCUCCCAGGGGCUCUGCUCUCACCUCCCAGAGCUCUGUUCUCACCUCCUGGACUAUGUUCUCACCUCCAGAGCUCUGUUCUCACCUCCUGGACUAUGUUCUCACCUCCAGAGCUCUGUUCUCACCUCCCAGGGCUCUGUUCUCACCUCCUAGGGGCUCUGCUCUCACCUCCAGAGCUCUGUUCUUACUUCCUGGACUCUGUUCUCACCUCCAGGGGCUCUGCUAACUACGCGUGGCGACCUGGCCGGGCUACAGAUGCCCCGAGAGCUGGAAGCACAUGACCGGGGUGUCUGCCUGGUGUCUCCCUGUGCCACCAAGGUGCACUGUCCCCAGGGCAGGAGGCAGCACCCAAUCUGCUGAGGGCCUGGACAGACGACAGGUGACUUUUCUUGCGCGCGUCCGUCUUCUCGGCCUUCAUUCCUGGAACAUGCACCAGCGGCUGCCCCGGCUCCGGGGUCUUCCACCCUGCAGGUCACACGUCCUAGACUUCUCCACGCCCCCAAGGCAGUGCCUGUCCGUGUCUGUGUGUCCUGCUGGUUCCAUCUCUCUGGAGACCCUGGCUCGUCCCUGCGUGGCUUCUGCAUGGCUGGGAGCUUUGGACAGCAAGGCCUGGUGCCCGUGUGGGAAGCGGAUAGCAGCAGAAGGCCGGAGCACAGCCUGGAGUACCCAGGCCCACUCUCCCACUGCCCCGUGAUGCACUGGUCAGAGCCCAGGGAACCAUCCCGCCUGAAAACCAGAGGGGCGGGAGGCUCCCGGCUUCCUCGCGUCCUUGCCUGAGCCUAGUCCAGGGGUGACUGACCACACAUGCAGUGCCAGCCCCGCCAUGUCCUGACUGCCACCCUCCGUGCCCUCCUCAGCCCCUCCCACUGCCUGCUCUUCUCACGUCCCUUUCUAGAACCUUCUUUCCCACAUGCCCGCCGGCCCUCACGCUCUCCCCAGCAGCUGGCACAGCCCUCCUUCUCCUGGAUUUCCACCUCUCCUCUGCAUGAGAGGCCGCCCCGUGCCUCCCCUGAGCUUCACUGUCACUCCCUUCCCACAGCUGGGCCGCACGCAGGGCCACGGUUUUCAGUCCCCUGUGCCAGGAGCAGGUGCUGGGGUCCCGGUGCCAGAGCCCGGUGCUGAGCGGCAUUGAGCCCGCUCACAAACCCUGCCAGGGCCAGGCCCUUCCUCUGCGGGGAUGGCGCUCGGGCUCCUGCUGUGGAAGCAGCCACUGAUGCAGGCAGCAG
ensembl:lncRNA